rnacentral:rRNA from 1 species
UUGAUCAUGGCUCAGGAUGAACGCCGGCGGUGUGCCUAAUACAUGCAAGUCGUACGCACUGGCCCAACUGAUUGAUGGUGCUUGCACCUGAUUGACGAUGGAUCACCAGUGAGUGGCGGACGGGUGAGUAACACGUAGGUAACCUGCCCCGGAGCGGGGGAUAACAUUUGGAAACAGAUGCUAAUACCGCAUAACAACAAAAGCCACAUGGCUUUUGUUUGAAAGAUGGCUUUGGCUAUCACUCUGGGAUGGACCUGCGGUGCAUUAGCUAGUUGGUAAGGUAACGGCUUACCAAGGCGAUGAUGCAUAGCCGAGUUGAGAGACUGAUCGGCCACAAUGGAACUGAGACACGGUCCAUACUCCUACGGGAGGCAGCAGUAGGGAAUCUUCCACAAUGGGCGCAAGCCUGAUGGAGCAACACCGCGUGAGUGAAGAAGGGUUUCGGCUCGUAAAGCUCUGUUGUUGGAGAAGAACGUGCGUGAGAGUAACUGUUCACGUAGUGACGGUAUCCAACCAGAAAGUCACGGCUAACUACGUGCCAGCAGCCGCGGUAAUACGUAGGUGGCAAGCGUUAUCCGGAUUUAUUGGGCGUAAAGCGAGCGCAGGCGGUUGCUUAGGUCUGAUGUGAAAGCCUUCGGCUUAACCGAAGAAGUGCAUCGGAAACCGGGCAACUUGAGUGCAGAAGAGGACAGUGGAACUCCAUGUGUAGCGGUGGAAUGCGUAGAUAUAUGGAAGAACACCAGUGGCGAAGGCGGCUGUCUGGUCUGCAACUGACGCUGAGGCUCGAAAGCAUGGGUAGCGAACAGGAUUAGAUACCCUGGUAGUCCAUGCCGUAAACGAUGAGUGCUAGGUGUUGGAGGGUUUCCGCCCUUCAGUGCCGGAGCUAACGCAUUAAGCACUCCGCCUGGGGAGUACGACCGCAAGGUUGAAACUCAAAGGAAUUGACGGGGGCCCGCACAAGCGGUGGGGCAUGUGGUUUAAUUCGAAGCUACGCGAAGAACCUUACCAGGUCUUGACAUCUUGCGCUAACCUUAGAGAUAAGGCGUUCCCUUCGGGGACGCAAUGACAGGUGGUGCAUGGUCGUCGUCAGCUCGUGUCGUGAGAUGUUGGGUUAAGUCCCGCAACGAGCGCAACCCUUGUUACUAGUUGCCAGCAUUAAGUUGGGCACUCUAGUGAGACUGCCGGUGACAAACCGGAGGAAGGUGGGGACGACGUCAGAUCAUCAUGCCCCUUAUGACCUGGGCUACACACGUGCUACAAUGGACGGUACAACGAGUCGCAAGCUCGCGAGAGUAAGCUAAUCUCUUAAAGCCGUUCUCAGUUCGGACUGUAGGCUGCAACUCGCCUACACGAAGUCGGAAUCGCUAGUAAUCGCGGAUCAGCAUGCCGCGGUGAAUACGUUCCCGGGCCUUGUACACACCGCCCGUCACACCAUGGGAGUUUGUAACGCCCAAAGUCGGUGGCCUAACCUUUAUGGAGGGAGCCGCCUAAGGCGGGACAGAUGACUGCGGUGAAGUCGUAACAA